rnacentral:rRNA from 1 species
AUUGAACGCUGGCGGCAGGCUUAACACAUGCAAGUCGAGCGGAGCGAGGGUGCUUGCACCUUAGCUUAGCGGCGGACGGGUGAGUAAUGCUUAGGAAUCUGCCUAUUAGUGGGGGACAACAUUCCGAAAGGAAUGCUAAUACCGCAUACGCCCUACGGGGGAAAGCAGGGGAUCUUCGGACCUUGCGCUAAUAGAUGAGCCUAAGUCGGAUUAGCUAGUUGGUGGGGUAAAGGCCUACCAAGGCGACGAUCUGUAGCGGGUCUGAGAGGAUGACCCGCCACACUGGGACUGAGACACGGCCCAGACUCCUACGGGAGGCAGCAGUGGGGAAUAUUGGACAAUGGGCGGAAGCCUGAUCCAGCCAUGCCGCGUGUGUGAAGAAGGCCUUUUGGUUGUAAAGCACUUUAAGCGAGGAGGAGGCUCUUAAGGUUAAUACCCUUGAUGAGUGGACGUUACUCGCAGAAUAAGCACCGGCUAACUCUGUGCCAGCAGCCGCCGCAGUAAGAC